UACAGGGGGGGCAAGCGUUGUUCGGAAUUACUGGGCGUAAAGGGCUCGUAGGCGGCCAACUAAGUCGGAUGUGAAAUCCCCAGGCUUAACCUGGGAACUGCAUCCGAUACUGGAUGGCUUGAAUCCGGGAGAGGGAUGCAGAAUUCCAGGUGUAGCGGUGAAAUGCGUAGAUAUUCGGAGGAACACCAGUGGCGAAGGCGGCUCACUGGUCCGGUACUGACGCUGAGGUGCGAAAGCGUGGGGAGCAAACAGG
rnacentral:rRNA from 1 species